rnacentral:rRNA from 1 species
GCACGUUCCGAUGACUACUCCCUCGUUCAGUGCGGCAUGCUUUACAGCCUAGAGCCGGGGCUCCAAAAGCGUUUUGAGAGACAUGGAGCAUAUGAGAUGUUCGAAGAGCUGAAAAUGGUUUUCCAAGCUCAUGCCCGGGUCGAGAGAUAUGAAGUCUCUGACAAAUUCUUCAGCUGUAAGAUGGAGGAAAAUAGUUCUGUCAGUGAGCACAUACUCACUAUGUCUGGGUUACAUAACCGCUUGACUCAGCUGGGAGUUAAUCUCCCGGAUGAUGCGGUCAUUGACAGAAUCCUCCAGUCGCUUCCACCGAGCUACAAGAGCUUUGUGAUGAACUUCAAUAUGCAGGGGAUGGAAAAGACCAUUCCUGAAGUAUUUGCUAUGCUGAAAUCAGCAGAGGUAGAAGUCAGAAAGGAACAUCAAGUGUUGAUGAUCAAUAAAACCACUAAGUUCAAGAAGGGCAAGGGUAAAAAGAACUUCAAGAAGGAC